rnacentral:rRNA from 1 species
CACGAACGCUGGCGGCAGGCUUAACACAUGCAAGUCGAGCGCCCCGCAAGGGGAGCGGCAGACGGGUGAGUAACGCGUGGGAAUCUACCCAUCUCUACGGAAUAACGCAUGGAAACGUGUGCUAAUACCGUAUACGUCCUUCGGGAGAAAGAUUUAUCGGAGAUGGAUGAGCCCGCGUUGGAUUAGCUAGUUGGUGGGGUAAAGGCCUACCAAGGCGACGAUCCAUAGCUGGUCUGAGAGGAUGAUCAGCCACACUGGGACUGAGACACGGCCCAGACUCCUACGGGAGGCAGCAGUGGGGAAUAUUGGACAAUGGGCGCAAGCCUGAUCCAGCCAUGCCGCGUGAGUGAUGAAGGCCCUAGGGUUGUAAAGCUCUUUCACCGGUGAAGAUAAUGACGGUAACCGGAGAAAAAGCCCGGCUAACUUCGUGCCAGCCGCCGCCGUAAUAC